AGCGUCUGGAAAGGCGUGCGAUACAGGGUGACAGCCCCGUACACAAAAAUGCACAUAUUGUGAGCUUGAUGAGUAGGGCGGGACACGUGGUAUCCUGUCUGAAUAUGGGGGGACCAUCCUCCAAGGCUAAAUACUCCUGACUGACCGAUAGUGAACCAGUACCGUGAGGGAAAGGCGAAAAGAACCCCGGCGAGGGGAGUGAAAAAGAACCUGAAACCGUGUACGUACAAGCAGUGGGAGCACGCUUAGGCGUGUGACUGCGUACCUUUUGUAUAAUGGGUCAGCGACUUAUAUUCUGUAGCAAGGUUAACCGAAUAGGGGAGCCGAAGGGAAACCGAGUCUUAACUGGGCGUUAAGUUGCAGGGUAUAGACCCGAAACCCGGUGAUCUAGCCAUGGGCAGGUUGAAGGUUGGGUAACACUAACUGGAGGACCGAACCGACUAAUGUUGAAAAAUUAGCGGAUGACUUGUGGCUGGGGGUGAAAGGCCAAUCAAACCGGGAGAUAGCUGGUUCUCCCCGAAAGCUAUUUAGGUAGCGCCUCGUGAAUUCAUCUCCGGGGGUAGAGCACUGUUUCGGCAAGGGGGUCAUCCCGACUUACCAACCCGAUGCAAACUGCGAAUACCGGAGAAUGUUAUCACGGGAGACACACGGCGGGUGCUAACGUCCGUCGUGAAGAGGGAAACAACCCAGACCGCCAGCUAAGGUCCCAAAGUCAUGGUUAAGUGGGAAACGAUGUGGGAAGGCCCAGACAGCCAGGAUGUUGGCUUAGAAGCAGCCAUCAUUUAAAGAAAGCGUAAUAGCUCACUGGUCGAGUCGGCCUGCGCGGAAGAUGUAACGGGGCUAAACCAU
rnacentral:rRNA from 1 species